rnacentral:rRNA from 1 species
UACGUAGGUGGCAAGCGUUGUCCGGAAUUACUGGGUGUAAAGCGCGUGUAGGCGGCAGACCAAGUCGGCGGUGAAAGCGCCCGGCUCAACUGGGCGAGGUCCGUGGAAACUGGUCAGCUGGAGGACGGUAGAGGCGAGUGGAAUUCCCGGUGUAGUGGUGAAAUGCGUAGAGAUCGGGAGGAACACCUGUGGCGAAGGCGGCUCGCUGGGCCGGUCCUGACGCUGAGACGCGAAGGCGUGGGGAGCGAACGGGAGU